rnacentral:rRNA from 1 species
GGCGAACGCUGGCGGCGUGCCUAAUACAUGCAAGUAGAACGCACAGUUUAUACCGUAGCUUGCUACACCAUAGACUGUGAGUUGCGAACGGGUGAGUAACGCGUAGGUAACCUGCCUGGUAGCGGGGGAUAACUAUUGGAAACGAUAGCUAAUACCGCGUAAUAUUGAUUAUUGCAUGAUAAUUGAUUGAAAGAUGCUAUUGCAUCACUACCAGAUGGACCUGCGUUGUAUUAGCUAGUAGGUGAGGUAACGGCUCACCUAGGCGACGAUACAUAGCCGACCUGAGAGGGUGAUCGGCCACACUGGGACUGAGACACGGCCCAGACUCCUACGGGAGGCAGCAGUAGGGAAUCUUCGGCAAUGGACGAAAGUCUGACCGAGCAACGCCGCGUGAGUGAAGAAGGUUUUCGGAUCGUAAAGCUCUGUUGUAAGAGAAGAACGGGUGUGAGAGUGGAAAGUUCACACUGUGACGGUAGCUUACCAGAAAGGGACGGCUAACUACGUG